GUUGGGUAGGGGAGCGUUCUGUAAGCCUGUGAAGGUGUGUCGUGAGGCAUGCUGGAGGUAUCAGAAGUGCGAAUGCUGACAUAAGUAACGAUAAAGCGGGUGAAAAGCCCGCUCGCCGGAAGACCAAGGGUUCCUGUCCAACGUUAAUCGGGGCAGGGUGAGUCGACCCCUAAGGCGAGGCCGAAAGGCGUAGUCGAUGGGAAACGGGUUAAUAUUCCCGUACUUGGUGUUACUGCGAAGGGGGGACGGAGAAGGCUAUGUUGGCCGGGCGACGGUUGUCCCGGUUUAAGCGUGUAGGUGUGUGUUCCAGGUAAAUCCGGUUCACUUUAACACUGAGGCGUGACGACGAGGCACUACGGUGCUGAAGCAACAAAUGCCCUGCUUCCAGGAAAAGCCUCUAAGCAUCAGGUAACAUCAAAUCGUACCCCAAACCGACACAGGUGGUCAGGUAGAGAAUACCAAGGCGCUUGAGAGAACUCGGGUGAAGGAACUAGGCAAAAUGGUGCCGUAACUUCGGGAGAAGGCACGCUGACACGUAGGUGAAGUGAUUUACUCAUGGAGCUGAAGUCAGUCGAAGAUACCAGCUGGCUGCAACUGUUUAUUAAAAACACAGCACUGUGCAAACACGAAAGUGGACGUAUACGGUGUGACGCCUGCCCGGUGCCGGAAGGUUAAUUGAUGGGGUCAGCGCAAGCGAAGCUCCUGAUCGAAGCCCCGGUAAACGGCGGCCGUAACUAUAACGGUCCUAAGGUAGCGAAAUUCCUUGUCGGGUAAGUUCCGACCUGCACGAAUGGCGUAAUGAUGGCCAGGCUGUCUCCACCCGAGACUCAGUGAAAUUGAACUCGCUGUGAAGAUGCAGUGUACCCGCGGCAAGACGGAAAGACCCCGUGAACCUUUACUAUAGCUUGACACUGAACAUUGAGCCUUGAUGUGUAGGAUAGGUGGGAGGCUUUGAAGCGUGGACGCCAGUCUGCGUGGAGCCGACCUUGAAAUACCACCCUUUAAUGUUUGAUGUUCUAACGUGGACCCGUGAUCCGGGUUGCGGACAGUGUCUGGUGGGUAGUUUGACUGGGGCGGUCUCCUCCUAAAGAGUAACGGAGGAGCACGAAGGUUGGCUAAUCCUGGUCGGACAUCAGGAGGUUAGUGCAAUGGCAUAAGCCAGCUUGACUGCGAGCGUGACGGCGCGAGCAGGUGCGAAAGCAGGUCAUAGUGAUCCGGUGGUUCUGAAUGGAAGGGCCAUCGCUCAACGGAUAAAAGGUACUCCGGGGAUAACAGGCUGAUACCGCCCAAGAGUUCAUAUCGACGGCGGUGUUUGGCACCUCGAUGUCGGCUCAUCACAUCCUGGGGCUGAAGUAGGUCCCAAGGGUAUGGCUGUUCGCCAUUUAAAGUGGUACGCGAGCUGGGUUUAGAACGUCGUGAGACAGUUCGGUCCCUAUCUGCCGUGGGCGCUGGAGAACUGAGGGGGGCUGCUCCUAGUACGAGAGGACCGGAGUGGACGCAUCACUGGUGUUCGGGUUGUCAUGCCAAUGGCACUGCCCGGUAGCUAAAUGCGGAAGAGAUAAGUGCUGAAAGCAUCUAAGCACGAAACUUGCCCCGAGAUGAGUUCUCCCUGAGACUUAGAGUCUCCUGAAGGAACGUUGAAGACGACGACGUUGAUAGGCCGGGUGUGUAAGCGCAGCGAUGCGUUGAGCUAACCGGUACUAAUGAACCGUGAGGCUUAACCUUACAACGCCGAAG
rnacentral:rRNA from 1 species